GNGGCNNGCUUACCAUGCAGUCGAACGAUGAAGCCCAGCUUGCUGGGUGGAUUAGUGGCGAACGGGUGAGUAACACGUGAGUAACCUGCCCUUAACUCUGGGAUAAGCCUGGGAAACUGGGUCUAAUACCGGAUAGGAGCGUCCACCGCAUGGUGGGUGUUGGAAAGAUUUAUCGGUUUUGGAUGGACUCGCGGCCUAUCAGCUUGUUGGUGAGGUAAUGGCUCACCAAGGCGACGACGGGUAGCCGGCCUGAGAGGGUGACCGGCCACACUGGGACUGAGACACGGCCCAGACUCCUACGGGAGGCAGCAGUGGGGAAUAUUGCACAAUGGGCGCAAGCCUGAUGCAGCGACGCCGCGUGAGGGAUGACGGCCUUCGGGUUGUAAACCUCUUUCAGUAGGGAAGAAGCGAAAGUGACGGUACCUGCAGAAGAAGCACCGGCUAACUACGUGCCAGCAGCCGCGGUAAUACGUAGGGUGCGAGCGUUAUCCGGAAUUAUUGGGCGUAAAGAGCUCGUAGGCGGUUUGUCGCGUCUGUCGUGAAAGUCCGGGGCUUAACCCCGGAUCUGCGGUGGGUACGGGCAGACUAGAGUGCAGUAGGGGAGACUGGAAUUCCUGGUGUAGCGGUGGAAUGCGCAGAUAUCAGGAGGAACACCGAUGGCGAAGGCAGGUCUCUGGGCUGUAACUGACGCUGAGGAGCGAAAGCAUGGGGAGCGAACAGGAUUAGAUACCCUGGUAGUCCAUGCCGUAAACGUUGGGCACUAGGUGUGGGGACCAUUCCACGGUUUCCGCGCCGCAGCUAACGCAUUAAGUGCCCCGCCUGGGGAGUACGGCCGCAAGGCUAAACUCAAAGGAAUUGACGGGGCCCGCACAAGCGGCGGAGCAUGCGGAUUAAUUCGAUGCAACGCGAGANCUUACCANGCUUGACAUGUCUCGAUCGCGUA
rnacentral:rRNA from 1 species